GUUGCAGUGGAAAAGCUCCAUCUUCUGUGCACAGAUUCCCAGCCCAUGGAUGUGGUGGGCUGACUCAGCAGUCUUCUAGAAGGAUGCAGAUGUGGUAUGACUUCAGCAUGGGGGUGAAACCAUCACUGCAAGAGACUAUAUUUAGGCCCACAGUGUGUCAGAAGGAUGACAUGUUCUAUACAACCUUUUCACCCURUCUGCUUCUAUAUACACAAGCACCUCUGUAUAUGAAYUCCUGGAGGUUCUGUGACUUUUUAAUAUUCCCCAGAGCUACCUUCGAAAACUGUGAGGUCACUUGGAUAGAAGCAGGAUUCAAAUGCAGAGUGUGAACACUCAAGAAGAGAUGCAGACUACAGCAGUUGCUAGCAUCUUUGAGCAUUAACUAUUCUCACUCAGAAUAUGGAGUAUUUAGAUAACAGCUCCUGCAGGAGCCAGGAGGUUUUAGCAACAGAGUUGCCAGUUUACAUUUUAACAACCAUGGGACAAGUCACUCUCUUCUUCCUGCAGUCUAUAACUCUGACCGCUCAGUGGACUUCCUGGGAACAAAUGCAGCUGGAGGAGAUCAAACCCCAGUGUURCUGGUAUGCGGGGCACAAGCUGCCCAGUGCCACUCUUUCUCUGAGGAGCCAAUGAGGUGUUGGUGGUGUUGAGCUCUGAACUAGAGGUCAGGAUAUUUUGGUUGCUAAUUCUAGCUCUGCCACUUCCCUGCCAGGUGACUUCCUURUAUCAGGUGACUGUAUGAGGCCUGCUGCUUCCCUGUGCACAGAAUGAGGGCUGUCCUUGGCRUUACUCCCAGCUGCAGUGUUCUAGAAGACUGAAUUAGCUUUGUCAUCCCAAAUUCUGGAAAUAAGCAGUGAAUGUUUAGAUGAUUAUAUACUUGGGAACUUUGUGUGGAGGUCCCAGACAUUUGGUAUUGGGUGGCAAAAUCUCAGAGCUAUGAAKUUUCACUCAAGUGCAAAGUUCCCAGAACUACUAACUUGUACAAUUUCUCUAAUGUGACAUUCUUUGACAGAUAAUUUUAUCAUGUUGGAGGAUAGUGACUUUUAUUAAACAAGUACUCUUUGAAAUCUUUCAG
ensembl:lncRNA